rnacentral:rRNA from 1 species
UACGUAGGGUGCAAGCGUUAAUCGGAAUUACUGGGCGUAAAGCGUGCGCAGGCGGUGAUGUAAGACAGAUGUGAAAUCCCCGGGCUCAACCUGGGAACUGCAUUUGUGACUGCAUCGCUGGAGUGCGGCAGAGGGGGAUGGAAUUCCGCGUGUAGCAGUGAAAUGCGUAGAUAUGCGGAGGAACACCGAUGGCGAAGGCAAUCCCCUGGGCCUGCACUGACGCUCAUGCGCGAAAGCGUGGGGAGCAAACAGG